rnacentral:misc_RNA from 1 species
GGGAUCCUGCUUGAAUUUGCGGUGUGCUGUGAUUGUGGGAGGAAUGGAUAUGAUAACCCAGACUAAGACUCUGAUGCAAAGACCUCAUGUGGUGAUAGCAACUCCCGGAAGGAUUAAGGUUCUCAUUGAACAGAAUCCUGAUAUUCCCCCAGUUUUCAGCAAAACUAAGUUCCUUGUCUUGGAUGAAGCAGAUAGAGUUCUAGACGUAGGCUUUGAAGAGGAGUUGAGAGCAAUCUUUCAGUGUUUGCCAAAGAAUCGACAAACUCUUCUGUUUUCUGCAACAAUGACUAGCAACCUGC